rnacentral:lncRNA from 1 species
GGGGACGCGGAGGAGAAGGAAAGUCGCUCAAGCAGUGGACAGAGCGGAGAAAGCGACUUCGGUGAAUGAAGGAGGGAAGAAAGGAGAGACAGAGAAAAUAUGGAUUUCCUCAUGGUUGUGAUUCCUCUUCACUCUUUUGAAUUUGGAAGGAUGGCAUACACAUCUGAAAAAUACCACUACUUCCUUCAUUGGACUGCAAGGUAUUUCUGUUUGGAAAAGUAAUGGAGUCCAGUCAACUUCAUUGAUCGCCAAGGACUGUCAAAAUUAUAAAACUUGCUGUGGAGCUCUGACAUGCCAGAAGCCGCUAGAAAAAGAAGUUUGACAUUCAGAAACUUAUCAAGAGGUUCUACUCUUUGGAUAGAGACCAAAAUCAUACUUUGAAUGAUAUGCAAUGCAAGACUCCCAAGAUUCUGGGCAGUGGCAGGGAGGUGCAGCUUCUAGUCUGCCGCAUGAUCACAAUGUUUUCUCUCUCCUUUCUGCUGGUGUUUCUUCCCCAUCUUGUCUCCAACUAAAGCCUGACAGGUUUCUUCGGAAAAGUGGCCAUCCAUGGAAUGAAUGAAAUGUUCUCUUUCUAUUCCAGGGAUUGCAGUGGCAAAGCUAGGCUAGGUCUUGGAGGCUGGUGUAAGGCGAUGUGGGUGAAGGCAGGAGGCUGAUGGAAAGACUGGGGGGAAGAAAAGCCGAAAUGGAUUCACGGUGCCUUGGAUGAAGGACGAGAGGGGAACUGCAAGCUCCUUCAACUGGUUCUGUCCGGUGAGAAGUGAUCAAGCUUGGGCUGACAAGAGGCUCAGGGAGCCCUCACGUUCUUUCGCUUUUUUACCUGCCAAUCAAACUGCUACAAGACAACACCCUGAUCUGGCAUGGACAUCGCGGGUCCAAGCCUGUAGCCCCAAAUCGGAUAAUCUCUGCAGCUGAUAACAAGCAAAAGAGAAGCCAGGCAACAGCCAUAUUAAAGAAGAAAACAAUCAACUCUGAGAUCCAACUUAGAAAUAAUGUUUCAUUCAAGAUAAGGCUCGUGGCUUAGGAGAUUGUGACCUGGCUUGCAUCAUUCUAAGACUUCUAUCGUCUGUUUUCAAAACCCAAGGAGGACCUCCUUUUCUGUGUGAUAGUUCCUCAUGCUUUGCCAGCCACUGGGUCUUUAAGGAAGCUUGCCAAGAGUUCCCGGCUGGGAAGGACAGUUCGAGUUCAUCAUAGACAAUGAGCUGGCACCACAGUUUAAGUGACUCACCAACCUGGUUGCCCACUUCAAAAUGUCAAGAACCACACUAUCUAAUUGAAAGAACUGUGUUUUAGCAAAGUGUAAUUGGAUCGCCUGGCAAGAUCAUCUCAAACUAUGUCUCUGACCUUGCCUUUCAGUGGCUAUUUUGAGCACAAGAGGAGAAAGGAAAUGAUUCCUGAAUUAUAUCUUGUUUUUAAAAAUUAAGAUUAAUUAAUACUUGGUUUUAUGUUCAUUCCAUUGUAGGAACUUAGUGAUUAUUACAAAACAGUCAAAAUAGGUCAUAGCAAAAUGAACGUUUAAGAUUAGGUUAAAACAUUCCUCUGAAAUUUUAGUAUUCACUUUUGAAGUGUCAAUUACUAUAUUUCUGUAAUUUCUCAUUUUUUUCUUGGCUUAGAGUCAAGAUGAAAAAUGAUAUUUGAAUCAAAGACAUUGUUUUGUUAUAUAGCCACUCCUUUCUAAAAUGCAAAUCCACCCUCCCCUCACCAAUGCUUUAUUCUUUGUGCGCGCACACACACACACACACACACACACACACACACACACACACAGACAUACACAGAACCAGCACCCAAAUGGUAGAGGAGGUCCUUCCAAGACUUCUAGGACCUGGAUCAUGUAAGCAGUAGAUGAGAAAAUGAAGUAAGAGAUAUAGAGUAAUAACAAUAAAAGUCAAUGAUUUCAUUUUACAAAAAAGUCAUUGUGUAGUACUCAGAUAUUUUUAAGAGCAAGUAUUAUUAUGACUAAAGUAUAUUAUACUUCUAAAUUAUUAUGAUUCUCAUCUAAUUUCAAGCCACACAUAGGCGCCAUUUGAAAGCAUUUUGUGUUACAACCUAUCAACAAAAAUCAACUAAUAGUUUUAUAACGUGCAUAGGUUUACCCCAUGGGGAAUUAAAAUUUUUAUCUGCAAGUAUUUCUGUUGUUGUGAGACUUUAGGACAAGACAACAUUUGGUGUUAACAUAGAAGAAUAUUCUAUGGCUUUUUUAGCUUUAAAGUUCAUUACUCUAAAAUAAAGUACACGUGGUAUUUUUUUCUUCCUAGUGUUCUCUUAUUAUAUGUAGAGUAUUUUCGGUUGUU